GUCGUGUCUCGUCAUGUGUGUUCGGGAGUUUCUCUAUUCUUGUAUUUGCUCUUUUCUCUCGUGAUUUUGCUUUGCUUCUCUUCAUGUCCGUAGACUCUUCGCGUUGUGUGGUGGUAUGUUUGUGUGUAACAACGGAACUUUCGCUGCAAGGUUGGAGGGGGUGGGCGUCGAGUGUGUUGUUUAUCAGCUGUGAUCUGUGCGUGUGAAACUUUUUCGGUGUGCUGAAACGGUUCUGCAGUGCCAUGGUGAACGUUGAGAGGUGUUGGCACGGAAGACAGAGCGGGAAAAGGUUCACGACAACUAUGCGGUGAGGAGGAUAUCAACGGAUUGUGCAUUUACAGUUAGCGGGUGAGCACACGCUGCACCUCGUAGGAGAACCUGGUCAUGGGUAUCGGAGAAUGCAUAUCGUAUGCCGGAAUCGUGCUUGGCCCUGAACACUGACUCUGCUCGAUCACGGGUUCCAAAUUGGUCAUUACGUUACCGGCGGCUUGCCAGCAAUCAGCAUUGGGUGUUCUUUUUCCGUUCAGUUCUUCCUACCGUCCUUCUGUGUAUAAAGUGCCUUCCAUUAACAUCUCCCGACAGCAAUGGUUGCUGCUAGCACGGAUUGUGAUGGUGCUGUUGCUGAAGAGGAAUGUUGUGUUGCCUGGUUGCACUGGACAGGAUGGUUCACACAGUGUAGUCAAUCUCCUGUUGGUGUCUAUUGUUCCCUUCGAGCCGGAGGCCCAUCCCGGCCGCUCAGUGCGAUAGUGUUAGAUGCUAGAAAUACAAGAUGUAAAUAUAAAAUGGUUACUUUACAUGUUAAUACAGAAGAGGCGAUUAUAUAGGUUAUAGAA